UUUACAUAUCUGUCAUGUUAAGAGCCAUUUGCAGAAGUAUCGACUUGCUAAGAAUGUAUCAGAGCUUAAACAUGAUAAAAGAAGCUCCAGAUUUGAAGAAAAGGAAACCUUAACUGAAACCCAUGGUGAUGGGAAUAUAGCAAAAGAAAGGGACACGCAAGUACUAGAGACCUUGCGAAUGCAAGUUGAAGUACAAAAGCUGUUGCAUGAACAGCUUAAGGUGC